rnacentral:rRNA from 1 species
ACGGAGGAUCCGAGCGCUAUCCGGAUUUAUUGGGUUUAAAGGGUGCGUAGGCUGGUUUUUAAGUCAGCUGUGAAAUACCGACGCUUACCGUCGGCACUGCAGUUGAAACUGGGAACCUUGAGAGUGCAAGAGGCAUGCGGAAUUCAUGGUGUAGCGGGGAAAUGCGUAAAUAUCAUGGAUAACCCCGAUUGGGAAAGCAGUAUGGUGGGGUAUAUCUGACGCUGAGUCACGAAAGUGCGGGUAUCAAACAG